UACAUUUUCUUUAAACUAAGGGUUAGAUUUAGUUUUAUCUAUGAUAUCCUUAACAGGAAUAGCUAGAAUGCAUUUGCCUGCUGAGUUAAUUAGUUUUAAUCAUGAUAUCCUGAACAGGAAUAGCUAGAAUGUAUUCGAAUGCUGGUGUGGCAAAUAACUUAAGUCGCUUUCUUGAGUUUUGGACACCAGCAAUUGACAUGAUGGAUUAUUUGCAGGUAUUUAGUGGUUUAGAGGAUCGGAAUUUGUUGUCUAGUACUAUGCUGCCUUCAACAGAAUCCGAGAACACUGCAGAAGAUCUGAGGCAAGAGUUGGAAUACUUUAAGAAGGUAUUCCAUCAAGAUUUGUCCGUUGUAGUUUCUUCUUGGACUUUAGAAUGACAAGAGACAUACAAGAUGUUGCGUGAAAAGGAGGUUUUAACUUUUAACUGAUGUCUUGCUAACAUGUACGAAACAUCUACUAUCUGAGAUGGACUCUGAUAAGACAUCCUUGAAUAGUUUGGAAGUGUAGUCACUUUCUGCUGAAGAUACAUUGCUAGAUUAUGCUUUGACAUAAAGAGUGUACCAUUUGAACUUCCAAGUACCAACCACAAUUGUGCACUGCAAUGCUUGAACUUCCAGUGGCCUGUCUUGCAUCUUCGAAUGACUAAACUACUGAUAGACCAGUGGCGGCAACAUGCACUGAAAUGCUUGAACUUCCAAGUACCAACCACAAUUGUGCAAAAGAAUUUC